GAUGAAGAACGCAGCGAAAUGCGAUAAGUAGUGUGAAUUGCAGAAUUCAGUAAAUCAUCGAAUCUUUGAACGCACAUUGCGCCCUUUGGUAUUCCUUAGGGCAUGCCUGUUCGAGCGUCAUUUCAACCCUCAAGCCCUGCUUGGUGUUGGGCGUUUGUCCUGCCUCCGCGCGGGACUCGCCUCAAAGACAUUGGCGGCCGGUUUCCCUUUGCAGGCCACGAGCGCAGCACAGCGAGCGCUCUACGUGGACGCGGGGUCGGCGCACCAGAAGCCCUCUUUCUCGAAUUUUGACCUCGGAUCAGGUAGGGAUACCCGCUGAACUUAAGCAUAUCAAUAAGCGGAGGA
rnacentral:misc_RNA from 1 species